AUUGAACGCUGGCGGCAGGCCUAACACAUGCAAGUCGAACGAGUGGCGGACGGGUGAGUAAUGUCUGGGAAACUGCCCGAUGGAGGGGGAUAACUACUGGAAACGGUAGCUAAUACCGCAUACCAUCGGAUGUGCCCAGAUGGGAUUAGCUAGUAGGUGGGGUAACGGCUCACCUAGGCGACGAUCCCUAGCUGGUCUGAGAGGAUGACCAGCCACACAGGAACUGAGGCACGGUCCAGCGUCCUAGGGGAGGCAGCGGUGGGGAAUAUUGCACUAUGGGCGCAAGCGUGAUACCGCCAUGCAGCGUGUAUGAAGAAGGGCUUCGGGUUGUAAGGUACUUUCAGCGAGGAGGCGUUACUCGCAGAAGAAGCACCGGCUAACUCCGUGCCAGCAGCCGCGGUAAUUC
rnacentral:rRNA from 1 species